rnacentral:rRNA from 1 species
UAAGGAAUAUUGGUCAAUGGACGCAAGUCUGAACCAGCCAUGCCGCGUGGAGGAUGAAGGCCCUCUGGAUUGUAAACUUCUUUUAUAUGGGACGAAAUCAACUAUUCUUAGUUGUCUGACGGUACCAUAGGAAUAAGCACCGGCCAACUCCGUGCCAGCAGCCGCGGUAAUACGGAGGGUGCAAGCGUUAUCCGGAUUCACUGGGUUUAAAGGGUGCGUAGGCGGGCAGGUAAGUCAGUGGUGAAAUCUCCGAGCUUAACUCGGAAACUGCCGUUGAUACUAUCUGUCUUGAAUACUCGGGAGGUGAGCGGAAUAUGUCAUGUAGCGGUGAAAUGCUUAGAUAUGACAUAGAACACCAAUUGCGAAGGCAGCUCACUACAGAGUCAUUGACGCUGAGGCACGAAAGCGUGGGGAUCAAA